CUCAGGUCUGCUGGAAUUUGCUGGAGGUCCACUACAGACCCUGUUUGCCUAGGUAUCACCAGAGGAGGGUGCAGAACAGCAAAGAUUGCUGGCCAAAUAGGAAGAGCUCUGGUCUGCAGCUCCCAGAGAGAUCGACAGAGAAGACCCAUCCUGCUGUUUUCCACAGUGGCUGCACCAUUUUACAUUCCCAGCAGCAUACACAAUGUCUUCAAUAUCUGCAUAUGUAUGCCAACACUUGGUAUUUUCUGUUUGUUUGUUUGUUUUAUAAUAAACAUCAUAAUGGG
rnacentral:lncRNA from 1 species